rnacentral:rRNA from 1 species
UACGGAGGGUGCGAGCGUUAUCCGGAUUCACUGGGUUUAAAGGGUGCGUAGGUGGGUUGGUAAGUCAGUGGUGAAAUCCUCGAGCUUAACUCGAGAACUGCCGUUGAUACUACCAGUCUUGAAUUCUGUGGGGGUAAGCGGAAUAUGUCAUGUAGCGGUGAAAUGCUUAGAUAUGACAUAGAACACCGAUAGCGAAGGCAGCUUACUACGCAGAGAUUGACACUGAGGCACGAAAGCGUGGGGAUCAAACAGGAUUAGAUACCCUGGUAGUCCACGCCCUAAACGAUGGAUACUCGACAUCAGCGAUACACCGUUGGUGUCUGAGCGAAAGCAUUAAGUAUCCCACCUGGGAAGUACGUCCGCAAGGAUGAA